AUUGAACGCUGGCGGCAUGCCUUACACAUGCAAGUCGAACGGUAACAGGUCUUCGGAUGCUGACGAGUGGCGAACGGGUGAGUAAUACAUCGGAACGUGCCUAGUCGUGGGGGAUAACUACACGAAAGAGUGGCUAAUACCGAAUGAGAUCUACGGAUGAAAUCAGGGGAUGGAAAGACCUUGGGAUACGAGAGCGGCCGAUGGCAGAUUAGGUAGUUGGUGGGAUAAAUGCUUACCAAGCCGACGAUCUGUAGCUGGUCCGAGAGGACGAUAAGCCACACUGGGACUGAGACACGGCCCAGACUCCUACGGGAGGCAGCAGUGGGGAAUUUUGGACAAUGGGCGCAAGCCUGAUCCGGCAAUGCCGCGUGCAGGAUGAAGGCCUUCGGGUUGUAAACUGCUUUUGUACGGAACGAAAAGCCCUGGGUUAAUACCCUGGGGUCAUGACGGUACCGUAAGAAUAAGCACCGGCUAACUACGUGCCAGCCGCCGCGGUAA
rnacentral:rRNA from 1 species